rnacentral:misc_RNA from 1 species
UACAUCAUGUACUUAAUUUAGUUAUAUCAUUAUGACAUGCUUUUAUUGUCAGUAACAUUAUGUUAUUUAUCUAGUAACACAAUGCAUUCACAUUCAUAACUGAACUUUAAAAUAAAAAUAUUUUAUUUUCAGUGCCAUAUGUUCCACCUUUAAAUUUAUAGUGGCACAAAGUUAUUAACAAUGUAGUAACACCUUGUGUAUAUAAUUGACUUGAACUGAGUCACACCAUGUACUUCACUUCAAUUAACGUAGAUUGACAAGUCUUUUAAAGACUGAGUACUUAGGACUGUACUGGCAUAUGAUCUGAUCUAUCUGCAUGUUACAUGAUGAAAACCAAGGACUGGAUUUAUUGUAAUACUGAAGAAAUGAUGUGUUGUUCAGUGUGUAUUAAAUAAAUAACAUUACCCCAG